CUGGUGAGACGGGGGGCAGCAGUGGGGAAUCUUCCGCAAUGGGCGAAAGCCGGACGGAGCAACGCCGCGAGAUCGAAUGAAGGCCUUCGGGUUGUAAAGAUCUGUUGACAGGGACGAAUAAGCAAUGCGAAUAGUUUUGUGUAUGACGGUACCUGUUUAGAAAGCUCCGGCUAACUACGUGCCAGCAGCCGCGGUAAUACGUAGGGAGCAAGCGUUGUCCGGAAUUACUGGGCGUAAAGGGCGCGUAGGUGGGCGCUUAAGUCAGGUGUGAAAACUCCGGGCUCAACCUGGAGACUGCACU
rnacentral:rRNA from 1 species